UACGUAGGGUCCGAGCGUUGUCCGGAAUUAUUGGGCGUAAAGAGCUCGUAGGCGGUUUGUCGCGUCGGCCGUGAAAUCUCCACGCUUAACGUGGAGCGUGCGGUCGAUACGGGCAGACUUGAGUUCGGUAGGGGAGACUGGAAUUCCUGGUGUAGCGGGUGAAAUGCGUAGAUAUCGGGAGGAACACCAGUGGCGAAGGCGACUACCUGGCCUGUUCUUGACGCUGAGGCGCGAAAGCUAGGGGAGCAAACGGGG
rnacentral:rRNA from 1 species